UACGUAGGGUGCGAGCGUUGUCCGGAAUUAUUGGGCGUAAAGGGCUCGUAGGCGGUUUGUCGCGUCGGGAGUGAAAACCUCGGGCUUAACUCGGGGCUUGCUUUCGAUACGGGCAGACUGGAGGUAUGCAGGGGAGAACGGAAUUCCUGGUGUAGCGGUGAAAUGCGCAGAUAUCAGGAGGAACACCGGUGGCGAAGGCGGUUCUCUGGGCAUUAACUGACGCUGAGGAGCGAAAGUGUGGGGAGCGAACAGG
rnacentral:rRNA from 1 species